AGAGAUACGUCAGGUGCCUUUCGGGGAAAGCAGAGACAGGUGGUGCAUGGUUGUCGUCAGCUCGUGUCGUGAGAUGUUGGGUUAAGUCCCGCAACGAGCGCAACCCUUAUUGUUAGUUGCUACGCAAGAGCACUCUAGCGAGACUGCCGUUGACAAAACGGAGGAAGGUGGGGACGACGUCAAAUCAUCAUGCCCCUUAUGUCCUGGGCUACACACGUAAUACAAUGGCGGUUAACAGAGGGAUGCGAUACCGUGAGGUGGAGCGAACCCCUAAAAGCCGUCCCAGUUCAGAUCGCAGUCUGCAACUCGACUGCGUGAAGUCGGAAUCGCUAGUAAUCGCGGAUCAGCAUGCCGCGGUGAAUACGUUCCCGGGCCUUGUACACACCGCCCGUCACACCAUGAGAGUCGGGAACACCCGAAGUCCGUAGCCUAACCGCAAGGGGGGCGCGGCCGAAGGUGGGUUCGAUAAUUGGGGUGAAGUCGUAACAAGGUAGCCGU
rnacentral:rRNA from 1 species